GCAGCCCCGGAACGCCUGAGCAGGAAACUCCUUUUUUGGGCCUCGGAAGCACCAUAAAAGGCGUGGAGGAACUGCCAAAUAUGGUAUUUUUUUCCAGGAGACAAGUGGUUAUGUGUUGGCUUUGAAGCAACUAAAGGAAUCGGUUUCAAGGAAAGUGUUUCAACUGCUGAGUUCAGGAAUGGCCAAUCUGAGCUGGCUGAAAGAGAAGAAAAUCUGCUUCCUUCAUGAGGACAUCCACAGAGUUGGAAGAAACCUCCUGGUAUGUCCUGGAUCCUCCUUCCGUCUGCAAGUCUCCAUCUAUACUGUUG